CUAUAAAAAUUUCUACAAUAGGAUGCAAAGAUGAAAAUUUGAGCUAAUCCCUGAAAAGAAAUUUCAGUACAGAUAAGAGUCUGAAACUCGAUUCUUUGAAGAUGGAAUUGCUAGUAAUCGUCUAUCAGCAUGAGACGGUGAAAGAUAAAUCUGUGAUGUACUAACUACUCGUCAAGCGCGGAAAUUGAUAAGAAAUAUCAAGUAUAUACGUCUAUUUCUUAAAGAUCUGUGCUAAG
rnacentral:rRNA from 1 species